GUGAAGAACGUAGCGAAAUGCGAUAAGUAAUGUGAAUUGCAGAAUUCAGUGAAUCAUCGAAUCUUUGAACGCACAUUGCGCCCCUUGGUAUUCCGAGGGGCAUGCCUGUUCGAGCGUCAUUUUGACCACUCCCGCUUGCGGGGUCUUGGGCCUUCGCCUCUGGGCGGGCCUUAAAAUCAGUGGCGGUGCCGUCCGGCUCUAAGCGUAGUAAAUCUCCUCGCUAUAGGGUUCCGGAGGGAUGCUGGCAAACAACCCCCAACUUUUAAGGUUGACCUCGGAUCAGGUAGGGAUACCCGCUGAACUUAAGCAUAUCAAUAAGCGGAGGA
rnacentral:misc_RNA from 1 species